rnacentral:tRNA from 1 species
ACUUUGUAGCUCAUUUGGGUAGAGCAAUCGACUUAUCAUCGAUGGGUAGCAGGUUCGACUCCUGCCAAAGUUA